rnacentral:lncRNA from 1 species
CAUUUGAUAAAAGUGAGCAGGCUGAGGAAACAACGGUUUGAAUAUUUUCGCACGAGUGAAAAGAGAGAAAGAGACAAAAAAACAGGAGCUAAAAUUGCAAUUUCUUGUUGAAGUAGUAUACUACAGGAAAGGAAAGAAAAUGAAAUGACAGAAUGAAAUGAAGCCUCAAGCAGAAGAAGACGGUCAUGCAUGUAGCACUCUGAACACGACCUCAUUAAAUACGCUUCUAGUAAGGAGUAGUAACCUAGUUUAUGAUCAAAGAACUAAUAGCCUAGAGCACGAAGGAAAGCUAAGAAGGAUCUCAUUCAAAGGAGACUGGGUUAGAAAAGGAAAAGCUUACAAGGA